UUUUGGCGUACGACUGAAUGGGCGCCAAUUUUAGUCCGGUAUCCAGCUCUUAUAAUACAUCCAUGGCCACAACACUGUAGAGAGCGAACAUGGCACCCACCAGACGGAAGUUUGACGUCAAAUUUAAAGAGAGAGUUUUGCGGAAGAAAACUAAGGAGCGAAAGCUGCAAGACAUUUUGAGACUGACACGAAAAGAAUCAGAUACUGGAAAGAAAAACCGGAGCGUGAGCUGCUGUUAACUGACAAGAGGAGAGCACGGCUAGCUGGAGUGUGGACUCUGGGAACAGUGAGAUGACCACUAGCAGAGGACUCAAGAGGCCAAGAGGGUUCAAAUGGUAAAAGACAAUCAUGAAUGUAUUUUGGUCCUAGGCCACAGAGAGAUUUAUAGACAAGUAAUUUAAGCUCUAUGAAUCACUGGAAUCCAGUGACCUGAGAACUGGCAUAUGUUCAGGUACUCAUCUUUGUUAGGACUGUAGAAGCAGCAUUCUGAAUGUGCUAAAGUUACAUCCAAAAACUAUUAAAAACACAUCAAUGAGCCACAUUGCUGCACUGAGUGACAUGUUCCUUCAUUACGAAGGGUUUGGGCACGGUAGUUUGUUCAGAAACAGCUCCAAAGACUAGCAGCAGCGAUCAUGUUUUCCCUACAGAGUAGUUCUUUGUAAGGCAGGCGGCAUUGUGCAUCCACAGGAACACAGUUCCAUUUACAAUGCCUCACUAGCUUGUUGUGCUACAUUAUAUAUCUGCCUUACAUGGAACUAUUGAAAAAUGUCAGAAAAAUGUUUUAAAGUUGCCCAUCAGAGUUUCUCAGAGCCCAAAGUGACAUCUUCGAAUUGCCUCCUCUGUCCAUCCAAUAGUCCAUAUUCCUAAAAUAUUCACUAUACUAUUAUAUGAGAAAACAAAAAGCAGCAAAUCCUCACUCUGAGGAGUUGUAAUAAGCAUAUGUCUCAAACGAUUAAUGGAUUAUCAAAAUAGUUGCUAACUUACUUUCUGUCAAUCGACAUCAUAAAUCAACUAAUCAUUUCAACUGUACUCUCAUGUCCAAUCCAAAAUAACCCUGAUGACAUUAUCCAGGCUUAUUUUCCCAGUCCUUAGAAAGCUCCAUUAAAGCCACAGAACCACAGAAGUUCUCUUUGUGGCAAGUAAACUGAUCUUUGUGUGUAAUAUCAGUGGAAUACCCCUUUAAAACAUCAGUUUUCUUUGUUAAUGAAAAGCUAGACAGGUUGCAUAAAGAGAGUGUCCAUCACAUUUCACAUCAGGUCCAUGAUAAAAGUCAGGACUUGGCUAGAGCUACUGGCUGAGCCAUCCAAUAGUUUAGUUUGCAGUUUAAUUUAUUUGAGAUGUAUGUAUGAUUGAGAGUAGUCUGAGAGUGGAGUGUUUGUGAAGAUACUCUGGCAUUUAAACAAGAGGAAAAACAGUCAGGGACAGGCUGAAAAUGCAUCACAUUUCGACAUAAUGGCACUGACCUUUGGGUCAGAAUUAAGUCAUAUUUGCCUGACAGUGAACAACUCAGCACAUGUUUAAUUUAAAUUAAGGCCUUUCUGUGUAACACUUGUCAAGUGAGACUAUUAAAUAAAACUCUGUUGAACAAUGAAAGAACUUCUCAUUUAACCAAACAAGUAGAUGGGUUUAGGCACUGGGAGUCAGGAGGUAAAUUAUAUAUUCAUGAAGGUUUUGUAGCUACUUUAUUGGCUUUAGGCUAGACCUCACCAGCAAGCCCAUAAACUUAGUUUGACAGGCCCCAUGUAAAGCAGCGGGAGCAGGAAUAAGCCUCUCACUACUCAUCCCUCCUUUACUGCCUGGAACCUUCUGGAUCACAACAACAGCAAGUGCAACAUGAAGCAGCUGAUAUGGAGAUCAGCUCCCAGGGAGGUUAAGCUGUGAGUAACCACAUCUACCGCUCUGCAUUUAUGGGUUGGAACAGAAUGAAACUUUGAAGGGGAAAAUCCUCCUGGAAGUCAAAUUGCAGAAAAAUAUCUCUAAUGUUUUGUAAAGUUUUGUCAGUAUUUGUCAGUAUUUUUUAAACAUGAACAAGUCUCUCAGGAUGAUAUGAUGCAGACAGCCAUGCCAGGAGACAAAAUCUGAACUCACAGUGCCUGGAAGUCAGACUGUGUAUACUUAGGAAAUUUGAGACAGUUUGAGCCUUUACACUCCAAUGAGUUUCACUUAAUAUCAGAAAUCAUGACACUAGAAGUUCUGAAUCAAUAAAUGUACAUAUCUCUCUUAAAUAGACAUGCAGGAACUGACUGUCUUCUUUCAAGCUUUAGAUUAGCCUGGUUGUUCUCCAAAUGUGCGGUUGCUACAAGAUCAAUAACAUACCGUACAUAAAUACCACUUGGUAGAUGUUCAAAAAAGCAUAAAAACAUCACUGAACCAACACCUCAUGGCUCACUUGCCCAUUUGCCAAAUUGGAGGCAUUUUUUCAAUGAACACAAAAACUUUGUAUCAUGCUGGUCAAGCUAAAGCUAAGACUCAAACUCAGCUGAGACUGUACUUUGGCACAGUAGGUGCUUUAAGCUGAGUGCUAACGCCAGCAUGCUAAAAUACUGACAAUGACAAUGCCAGUAUGCUUAUGUUUAAUACUGUAUGUACAGUGUUUACAGAUCAAAGUUAUUACAAUCCAUCAUGAGGGUGAAAUGAAUGUCUACAUCAAAUUUCGACAGUCGAGGCAUUCCACUCAUGACUGGCACUGAAGAAAAAAUCAGUGUGAAGGUUUUAUCAUUUGGGGGCCAUAAAUGUCUGUACCCUAUGUCGUGGCUAUCCAUCCAAUAGCUGUUCGGAAAUGUCUGUCCAACCAAAGUGGUGGACUGACCAACUAACAUUGUGUAACCCGGGUCACAAAGAGUUAACAACACAGAAGUGCCUUAGCCAAUCAGAGCGCAGGUCCGCAGCACCGUAGGCAAGCUACACAGCGUACGCUAGUCAGACGCUGGGUGACACUGUUGAGGAAGGACCUGCCGCUGAGUGGUAAAAAAUAUAACUCAGAUAAAACAGUAAAAACACCAUAUAAUGUUGUCAAAACAGAACGGUAACAGCCUGUACUUUGUUGUAAGCUCAUACAGGUGUGUGUGUGAGAGACUGCUCACUGAAACCUGCCGAGUGACUCAGAGGAACUCCUGAAUUGGUCAGGUUUUUUGAGUUGAUUUGAAGUUGAUGGCAAGCCAAACCAGACGAGACCAUUAGAUCCCUGGAUUGAAGAUCCCUGAACCGAGAGCCCAGAGCCGAGAACUGUCAACCUUACCUCUCUCUUGCCACAGCGGUCCAGGCAGGCAGAGAAAGACCCUCUCUUCUUUGUGAAAGUGGCCACAGCCCAGAACUUAACUGCAAGGAUUGAUGAAGUCACAUAAAAGGGGAGACAGCAGCUGUCCAGAGGGAGCGGAUAGGUCAGCGAUCUGCACAGGACAAAAGCUAAAUACCACAAAGUCACCAGUGCGUCAUAUAGAGGCCUCUCACACAGGCCAGGAGUCACUUCUAUGAGUAAGAGUUGCAUGAAUGAGCCAUGAUGAACUGUGUGAGAAUGGAACCAAAGAAAGGAGCAGAGAAAAAAGCUGCCGGUGUGGAGGGCAGGGGUCCGUGUCCAGCGAAGUGCCACUCGCCUCUCAACUGGCAUUCUGUAAAAGGGGCACUUUAAGCAGCUGGCCACAUAAAAGGUUUUACAGCAUCCUUGAAAACAGAGCCAACACAAUGAAGACUUCACUCUGGUCUUCACACGAAAUGACUAACACUAUUUGGGCUGAGGACGAAUACUUCCUUGGGCUGUGCUGUCACCACUGGUGGUAAAUAUGAUGUCUGCCUGUAACACGGUUUCCUUUUGGAGACAUCUAGUUCAUAUCUGUCAGCGGGGGUCCUGUGAUGAGAUCCUUCAUUAUGCCCACUCAGAGUAAUGAUUCUGGCAGUGAAAAUGGUAGACAGCCCACAGCAUCAUCUCAGAGGAAGCAUGCGAUGACACUGACAACUACAGGCUGCAUGGUGUACAUUCAGCAUUUGGACUCCCCCUUCUACAUGUAACCCAUCGAAUAUAUCUGUAGCACGAUUUGCUGUUCCACAAAAGAGGCAUAUUUUUUCACCAGCAGCUGGUUUCUGCAGGGUGUAUUCCCAAAGGGACAAAACAGCCCCGACCACAAAGGACAGGGCUGCUGUAAUCGUUGGACGCCUUGGCUCACAUCAAAGCGCUCGCCAAGCUGAGAUUGCAUCUCUCUCCACCCACUGUUUCUGUGCCCAGCCGUCAUUCUGGGCAAGCGUUUGAGCUGCAGCCAUGUCUUGAUCAGAGAGAUGUAGUAGAUAGUGUGAUAUGGCUAAACUGCUGACACAAGGCUCUCGGGCAGAUGGCACCUAUUGAUUUUAGGCCAAAAUCUUUCCAAUGUUGGGAGGGAGCUAGAGUUUGUUGCUAUUCAUGAAAAUUUCAUCGACUGAAAAAAAAAAAAGGUAAAACUCUCUUUCACUAAAAUGGGUUUCAAAGGAAACAGUUGUUAUAGUAAUAAAAUAUCACAGCCUCCUGCGCUACAUUCUGUCGAAGCUCUAGGACUUGUCUUUAACAUGCAAACUCAUCUUUAAUUCAUCGCCUACAGCAGCAUAACCUUAGCUGUGAUCUCAAUUUACAUAUUAAAUGACAAUCCUUAACGCUAACAAAUGAGUCUACUGUAUAACAUUAGGGAAUCCCCUUGGUGCCUCACAUAAAAAGACAAACAAUAGUAGCUCUCAUAAAGAGAAGAGAGCACUUGCACCAUUGUGCUCUUUAUGUUACACCUUGGAUCACAUUGAGCCUUGUUAACAAAUGAAAUAUCCACAGUUUAGAGUACAAGAUAGUCUACGUUCUCAUUAUUAAGACAUAAAUAACCCAUCUAACAUUUUUAUCUCCAUCUGUUGGGGAUAAUGAAAAAUUAACAUCUGAGAUUUGUUACAGAGGAAGAUAUAGGUGAUGUUAUGGAAAAGAGAACUUGGUAAUUCUGAAUGUUUUGUGUACUAUCAGUAAUAUACCUUAUAAUGUCUCACUGUACAUGGAGUUGUGUCCUGGAAUGACUUGGAGUGAUGCCAGUAUGUCAGCAGAAUUGGAGUUUUACUUAUACAAACAUUUCUCUGAGGCAGAAUUCAGUUCAACCACAGCUUUUUACAGCAUUCAAGAUUACUUUAAUAAUUUGCCAACAACAAACAUUCUGCCCUCAAGCAAAUCAAGUUUCAAUAAAAGAAAUGUGGUCAUACUCAGGAAAUAGAGCCAGAAGUAAAUGGCUGAGAAAUGUUUAUUUGGGUAUAAUCAGCAAAAUUUGCCUUAUUGAAUGAAAACACACCACACGUUUAGAUGCAAGGCUACUGAUGAAAACUGAGGUAAGCACUUUUGUUUUCAAUUGCUGAAAUGUUGCUCUUUAACAAAGCUGCAGUAACAUUUGCUUGU